AUACGUAGGGGGCGAGCGUUGUCCGGAUUGACUGGGCGUAAAGGGCGCGUAGGCGGCCUGGUAAGUUAGGAGUGAAAUUCCAUUUUUCAAGGCAGGACGUGCUUUUAAAACUGUCGGGCUAGAGUGCAGUAGAGGAAAGCGGAAUUCCCAGUGUAGCGGUGAAAUGCGUAGAUAUUGGGAAGAACACCAGUGGCGAAGGCGGCUUACUGGGCUGUAACUGACGCUGAGGCGCGAAAGCGUGGGGAGCGAACAGGAUUAGAUACCCUGGUAGUCCACGCUGUAAACGAUGAAUGCUAGGUGUAGGGGGUAUCGACCCCUCCUGUGCCGGAGUAAACGCAUUAAGCAUUCCGCCUGGGGAGUACGGCCGCAAGGUUGAAACUCAAAUGAAUUGACGGGG
rnacentral:rRNA from 1 species